rfam:Arabidopsis thaliana chromosome 5, complete sequence.
CGAUGUGAUCAUACGAGCACUAAUGCACCUGAUCCCAUCGGAACUCUAUAGUUAACCGUGCUUGGGCGAGAGUUGUAUUAGGAUGGGUGACCUCCUAGGAAGUCCUCGUGUUGCAUCCC